UUUUGUUGGUUUUAAAAGUCCAUUGGAGAUUAUGGGGCAGUGUGACAAGCGGCUGGGUGGUUAUUCCACACACGCACACUCCUUUUUUGGAUGUGUGUCUCGUGUGUGGCACUCGUCGCCUUUGUGGGAAAUCCGUGUGGCACUUGUUUGGUGUUGUUGGCAGACUUCGGUCUUGCCUUCACAGCACAUGUGUCAUGCCUUCCCUCAACUCACGGCAUCCAGGAAUGAAGGAGGGUAGUUCGGGGGAGAACGUACUGGUGCGUCAGAGGAGACCAUUGUAGUCCACACUGCAAACGAUGACACCCAUGAAUUGGGGAGUUUUUGGUCGUAGGCGUGGUCGGGCUUGAUUAUAUUAUUUUUCAUCCCGUUCCUCGUCUCGCCAAUGAAUAUAUUAAAUUUACGUGCAUAUUCUUUUUGGUCUUCGUCUUUUUACGGCGAGGACCUUUAACGGGAAUAUCCUCAGCACGU
rnacentral:rRNA from 1 species